GACGAACGCUGGCGGCGUGCUUAACACAUGCAAGUCGAGCGGUAAGGCCCUUUCGGGGGUACGACGAGCGGCGAACGGGUGAGUAACACGUGGGUGACCUGCCCUCAGCUCUGGGAUAAGCCUGGGAAACCGGGUCUAAUACCGGAUAUGACUCCAUGACGCAUGUUGGUGGGGUGGAAAGCCUUGUGCGGCUGAGGAGUGGGCCCGCGGCCUAUCAGCUUGUUGGUGGGGUGAUGGCCUACCAAGGCGACGACGGGUAGCCGGCCUGAGAGGGCGACCGGCCACACUGGGACUGAGACACGGCCCAGACUCCUACGGGAGGCAGCAGUGGGGAAUCUUGCGCAAUGGGCGAAAGCCUGACGCAGCGACGCCGCGUGAGGGAUGACGGCCU
rnacentral:rRNA from 1 species